UACAGAGGUCCCGAGCGUUGUUCGGAUUCACUGGGCGUAAAGGGCGCGUAGGCGGCCUGUGCAAGUCAGUUGUGAAAUCUCCGGGCUUAACUCGGAAAGGUCAACUGAUACUGCUCGGCUAGAGUGCGGAAGGGGCAACUGGAAUUCUUGGUGUAGCGGUGAAAUGCGUAGAUAUCAAGAGGAACACCUGCGGCGAAGGCGGGUUGCUGGGCCGACACUGACGCUGAGGCGCGAAAGCUAGGGGAGCGAACAGG
rnacentral:rRNA from 1 species